GUGAACGCUGGCGGUAGGCCUAACCCCUGCAAGUCGAACGGCAGCACAGUAAGAGCUUGCUCUUACGGGUGGCGAGUGGCGGACGGGUGAGGAAUACAUCGGAAUCUACUUUUUCGUGGGGGAUAACGUAGGGAAACUUACGCUAAUACCGCAUACGACCUACGGGUGAAAGCAGGGGAUCUUCGGACCUUGCGCGAUUGAAUGAGCCGAUGUCGGAUUAGCUAGUUGGCGGGGUAAAGGCCCACCAAGGCGACGAUCCGUAGCUGGUCUGAGAGGAUGAUCAGCCACACUGGAACUGAGACACGGUCCAGACUCCUACGGGAGGCAGCAGUGGGGAAUGUUGGACAAUGGGCGCAAGCCUGAUCCAGCCAUACCGCGUGGGUGAAGAAGGCCUUCGGGUUGUAAAGCCCUUUUGUUGGGAAAGAAAAGCAGCAGGUUAAUACCCUGCUGUUCUGAGGGUACCCAAAGAAUAAGCACCGGCUAACUUCGU
rnacentral:rRNA from 1 species